rnacentral:rRNA from 1 species
UGCGCCCGCCAGUAUUCUGGCGGGCAUGCCUGUUCGAGCGUCAUUUCAACCAUCAAGCCCCCGGCUUGUGUUGGGGACCUGCGGCUGCCGCAGGCCCUGAAAACCAGUGGCGGGCUCGCUAGUCACUCCGAGCGUAGUAAUACAUCUCGCUCAGGGCGUGCUGCGGGUUCCGGUCGUUAAAAAGCCUUAUUUACCCAAGGUUGACCUCGGAUCAGGUAGGAAGACCCGCUGAACUUAAGCAUAUCAAUAAGCGGAGGAAAAGAAACCAACAGGGAUUGCCCUAGUAACGGCGAGUGAAGCGGCAACAGCUCAAAUUUGAAAUCUGGCCUCGGCCCGAGUUGUAAUUUGUAGAGGAUGCUUUGGGUGCGGCUCUGACUGAGUUCCCUGGAACGGGACGCCACAGAGGGUGAGAGCCCCGUAUAGUCGGAUGCCUAGCCUAUGUAAAGCUCCUUCGACGAGUCGAGUAGUUUGGGAAUGCUGCUCAAAAUGGGAGGUAAAUUUCUUCUAAAGCUAAAUAUUGGCCAGAGACCGAUAGCGCACAAGUAGAGUGAUCGAAAGAUGAAAAGCACUUUGAAAAGAGGGCUAAAUAGCACGUGAAAUUGUUGAAAGGGAAGCGCUUGUGACCAGACUUGCGCCGGGCAGAUCAUCCGGUGUUCUCACCGGUGCACUCUGCCCGGCUCAGGCCAGCAUCGGUUCUCGUGGGGGGAUAAAGGUCCCGGGAACGUAGCUCCUCCGGGAGUGUUAUAGCCCGGGGCGUAAUGCCCUCG